rnacentral:rRNA from 1 species
UACGUAGGGAGCAAGCGUUGUCCGGAAUCAUUGGGCGUAAAGCGCGCGUAGGCGGCCCUGUAAGUCCGCUGUGAAAGUCAAAGGCUCAACCUUUGAAAGCCGGUGGAUACUGCAGGGCUAGAGUCCGGAAGAGGCGAGUGGAAUUCCUGGUGUAGCGGUGGAGUGCGCAGAUAUCAGGAGGAACACCAAUAGCGAAGGCAGCUCGCUGGGACGGUACUGACGCUAAGGCGCGAAAGCGUGGGGAGCGAACAGG